CCAAUAGCGUAUAUUAAAGUUGUUGCAGUUAAAAAGCUCGUAGUUGAACCUCGGGAUCAAUGGAUCGGUCAUGCCAUCGGUAUGUACUGGUCUCAUUGUUUCUCACCUUCUAAGUAACCAUGAUUUCAUUCAUUUGAUGUUUUUGUUAAUUAGGACUGUUACCUUGAAAAAAUUAGAGUGUUUAAAUCAGGCUAACGCUUGAAUACAUUAGCAUGGAAUAAUGAAAUAUGACAUCGCAUUCUAUUUUGUUGGUUUCUAGGAUCUAUGUAAUGAUUAAUAGGGAUAGUUGGGGGCAUUAGUAUUCAAUUGUCAGAGGUGAAAUUCUUGGAUUUAUUGAAGACUAACUACUGCGAAAGCAUUUGCCAAGGAUGUUUUCAUUAAUCAAGAACGAAAGUUAGGGGAUCGAAGACGAUCAGAUACCGUCGUAGUCUUAACCAUAAACUAUGCCGACUAGGGAUCGGACGAUGUUGAUUUUUUAAUGACUCAUUUGGCACCUUACG
rnacentral:rRNA from 1 species